AUUGAACGCUGGCGGAAUGCUUUAAACAUGCAAGUCGAACGGCAGCACGGGGGCAACCCUGGUGGCGAGUGGCGAACGGGUGAGUAAUACAUCGGAACGUGCCCAGUCGUGGGGGAUAACGUAGCGAAAGUUACGCUAAUACCGCAUACGACCUACGGAUGAAAGCGGGGGACCGUACGGCAUCGCGCGAUUGGAGCGGCCGAUGUCAGUUUAGGUAGUUGGUGAGGUAAAGGCUAACAAAGCCGACGAUCUGUAGCUUGUGUGAGAGGACGACCAGCCACACUGGGACUGUGACACGGCCCAGACUCCUACGGGAGGCAGCAGUGGGGAAUUUUGGACAAUGGGCGCAAGCCUGUUCCAGCCAUCCCGCGUGCGGAACGAAGGCCUUCGGGUUGUAAACUGCUUUUGUACGGAACGAAAAGGCUCUGGUUAAUACCUGGGGCUCAUGACAGUACCGUAAGAAUAAGCACCGGCUAACUACGUGCCAGCAGCCGCCGUAA
rnacentral:rRNA from 1 species